CAGUAGCCGCGGGAAUACGUAGGUGGCAAGCGUUGUCCGGAAUUAUUGGGCGUAAAGCGCGCGCAGGUGGUUUAAUAAGUCUGAUGUGAAAGCCCACGGCUCAACUGUGGAGGGUCAUUGGAAACUGUUAAACUUGAGUGCAGGAGAGAAAAGUGGAAUUCCUAGUGUAGAGGUGAAAUUCGUAGAUAUUGGGAAGAACACCAGUGGCGAAGGCGGCUCACUGGACCGACACUGACGCUGAGGCGCGAAAGCGUGGGGAGCAAACAGGAUUAGAUACCCCCGUAGUCCCUGUCUCUUAUAC
rnacentral:rRNA from 1 species